UGGGGAAUAUUGCACAAUGGGCGCAAGCCUGAUGCAGCCAUGCCGCGUGUGUGAAGAAGGCCUUCGGGUUGUAAAGCACUUUCAGCGGGGAGGAAGGCGUUAAGGUUAAUAACCUUGGCGAUUGACGUUACCCGCAGAAGAAGCACCGGCUAACUCCGUGCCAGCAGCCGCGGUAAUACGGAGGGUGCAAGCGUUAAUCGGAAUUACUGGGCGUAAAGCGCACGCAGGCGGUUUGUUAAGUCAGAUGUGAAAUCCCCGGGCUCAACCGGGGAACUGCAUCUGAUACUGGCAAGCUUGAGUCUCGUAGAGGGGGGUAGAAUUCCAGGUGUAGCGGUGAAAUGCGUAGAGAUCUGGAGGAAUACCGGUGGCGAAGGCGGCCCCCUGGACGAAGACUGACGCUCAGGUGCGAAAGCGUGGGGAGCAAACAGG
rnacentral:rRNA from 1 species